CGUUGGGACGAAGCCCCCCUUCCCCUCUUCUUUCUUCCCGUUCCCUUCCGAUUUCCGUGGCGCUCCUGCUCGAAAAAAAAAUCAGGUCCCGCUCCAAACCCUAGACUCGCCGGAGCCACAAGAUGAGUUACGCGGUGUACAAGAUGAUGCACUGGCCUACCGGCGUCGACCACUGCGCUGCCGGCUUCAUCACCCACUCCCCCUUGACGCCGUUGCCUUCUCCACCGCCGUGGUGGCGGGUCCCGGGCCGGUAGGCGACAUCGAUUCGGUUGCGGCGGAAGCGGGGCGUCCAAGGCGCUUAGGUCCCACGCCCAACCUGGUCGUGGUGGCCGCGAACGUGCUCGAGGUGUACGCCGUGAGGGCUGAUACGGUGGCGGAGGAAGGAGGGGGUGGCGCCCGGCGUCCUCCUCGUUCCGCGCCGUGUUGGACGGUAUCUCCGAGGCGCGCCUGGAGUUGGUGUGCCAUUACAGGCUGCAUGGAAACAUCGAGCCCCUGACCGUGUUGUCGGAUGGAGCGGAGAAUAGGCGAGCCGCUGUUGCAGUUGCAUAUAAGGAUGCAAAAAUAACGUGUUUGGAGUUUGAUGAUGCUAUCCAUGGCUUGCGUACUAGCUCUAUGCAUUGCUUUGAGGGCCCAGAAUGGCAGCAUCUGAAGAGAGGCAGGGAACCAUUUGCUUGGGGUCCUGUUAUAAAGGCUGAUCCUCUUGGAAGAUGUGGUGCUGCACUUGUGUAUGGACUUCAGAAGAUUAUUCUAAAAGCUGCCCAGGUUGGCCAGAGCUUAGUUGGAGAAGAUGACCCCACCUGUGCAUUGAGUCAUCAUUUUUGAUUGACUUUCGAGCUUUAGAUAUGAACCAUGUCAAGGAUUUUGCUUUUGUACAUGUUCUAUGGUAAUGGAAGCUCUUCAUGAAACUAAGGAUCCAAAUGGUUCAGAUAUUGAAGCAGUUUCCCACUACAUAGAGGGAUUUUUGUGCUGGGGCGCUGCUGAAUGCCUGGGUUUCGUGGCCUCUCGCGUGCCUGCGUUCCCUCUGUAAUUUUUGCGUAAAAGCCCUCUCUUUUAUAGAUAUUUUAUUAUAACUUUGAGAAUAUCACGGGUAGUCCAUGUCAUGUGUGUCGUACGAAUCUACAGCUGCAAAGGGACAGAAAAUUGAGAAAAAAGGACUGCGUCCUGAAUCGUGGAAACUAAGGGGCUAUCUAAUUGAUAGCAUAUUUCCCUUAUUUAGAAAGCAUAUUGAGCCAGACCUGCAUCAUGCUCAAGUAUAAGUCUUGUACCUUUUUGCCUUUUUGUACUCUUUAGCUACCAUUUGAUUAUUAUUUUUUAUUUUAGUUGCUACUUGGUAGUGCAGAUUAGAAUUGAUAACAGCUUUGUCUGCUCAUUCUGGGAAUCGUACUACAAGCUAAAAUGCAAAAACGAGGCCAGUGGCGAUGGUGAGGAAGGGGCAGCCAUGGUUCGCGUUGAUGACCAAGAGAGAUCGAUCACCUCAAGGAUGGCUAUAGGUGGAGGAAGUAUGGGGAAAGGCAGUCAAUAACAGGCCACUCCCAAAGAUUUGGCAUUGGGGUUGAGAAGAAAGGGUAUGCAAUUAGCUAUGAGCGGAGACAACAGAUGCAGAAGAAAUUGAUUUCAGUGCUUUCUCAGCUGGAGAGGCUCAGGUCAAGAUAAUUCAGUCGUUAGAUGUGCUUCAAGGGGGCUGACGGCAGACCCCGGGGCGGCCAAGGCGGUGCCAACCGACAGAGGCAGCAGCUGGCCACGAGGCCCAGGGCGGCGGAGGCGGGCGCUACGACGGAUCCGGCCGGGAGGCUGUGGAUCCGUCCGGGGCGGCAGUGGAUCUGGGAGCUACCUCGAACGGAGCUUCCUCACGGCGGUCAUCAUGGACGAAGAUUUAUGCUGGCGACAAGGCCCGGGGCGGCAGAUAUAUGUUCUCAGAAUUUACUCUCCUCUCCGCCCGCGCGCAUGCGGCCGGCAUCCAGAACCUUCCAGAAGCCUCCCCCGCCCGCUUCCCCGUGAUGUCUCCCUCUCCCCGGAGGAGGGAACGUUGGGACAUUGCCGUCGCCGCCCACCACCGGACGGAACGUCGAGAGCUUCCAGGAUUUUCUUCACAAGUCAAUAUCUCAGCUUCUGACAUCAAGAGAUUAGCUGAUCGUGUCAUAGCCAGGUCGAAGGAAACAUAUGAUGCUGUGGGUGCGGUUCCCCUAGAUAAGGUCAGCUUCUCUAAUGUCACUGCACCUCUUGCGGAAUUAGAUGCUCAGCUUUUCCCACUGGUUCAAGCCUGUGUGCUUCCUAUAAUGGUCUCACCAUCUGAUGAUUUACGAAGCUCCAGUGCAGAAGCAGAGAAGCGAUUGGAUUUUCACUUCCUGCGGUGCAGCGAUAAUUCGGCUGGUCCUGGAAUCACAACUGCGGCUCCUGAUGGGUCUGAUAUCCCUGGAACUGCUCCUAUGGCUGCUGAAUCAGUUGAUCAGGACAACAAUCUUUCCGUUUUCUGAUGCAAAAAAGAAGUGUGUUGCUGUUACUUCUACCCCUGGUACAGUGGUAUCCAACCAUACAGUAAAAAAAGAUAAUUAAUAUGUCAAAGCCAAAGCCAUCGCCCUUACUUUUGCUCAUCUAUUGCGUCCCGGCCUAUCGUCCGCUUCUUCCUCCUCGGUGGUUGAUUUGGACCUUCCUGUGUGUGUUUACAGUUAUGGACGUUCCACCAUGCAUCACCAGCGCUAAGAUGGUCCUGGUUCUCUAGGUAGGACUUACAGCACUGGGAGGAUUGCUGGCCUUAGGAUAUAAUGUUGUUCUUAGCUUCAACAUGCAUAUCUGUCGGCAGAGAUCAGUUAUUGAUUGCAGCAGAGACUAUUGACACCCUAAAUGAGACAUUUUUGGUGCUAAAAGGUCCAAGUAGGAAGCAUCUUGCAGACUGAGGUGUACCAGAUCACCCUUCUAUGUUGUCAGAUUGUUGCAGCAGAAGGUUCUAAUCUCGUAUAAAGGGGCCAUGGAUUAGGAAGUCAUACCUCGAAAUGAUCCUAGAUAGCAAAGCGGUCCCAUGACUUAAUACACCACCGCCAGUCUCAAGGAAAUUACCGACCGUAAGUCAAGAAAAGAAAAUUGUCGCACCAAAACCAAUUCGUGUUUCGACUGACAACGUUACAAAUUUUGUACAACCAUGGCCGAGAUCUCCACCCAAAAUGUUCGACCAGGAGCAUGCUAUUGGUUUCAAUUUGAAUUUCUCCAUCCAGGUGUUCAACAAGUUCGACCAAAAACUGAUUCGUCAACAGGAAUUAACAUCCAACUAGCUCCAUUGCCAGACUCCUACGACUUAGAUAGGGGCCUUCGCCUAUCAGUUCAAGCAAUUCAGGCAGUGUUGGAGAACAAAGGAUUUCCUGUAAUUGUUGGAAUUGAACAUUAAGGAGAUCAGAAAGAAUCGCAAAGUAGAAGUACCAUGCUUUGACUUUGAGAAGUGCAGAAGAAAGAAAUUCGAGAAGCUUCAGGUCUCGGACGAAUGUGGAGUGUUACUGAGCUGUGGCUUAUAUUGAAGCUUCUGCAACGAUUUACCCAAGAUGGAAAGAUAAGUAUAGAGGUUGACCAAUUACAAGAUGAGAUAAAUCUGUAUCUUCAGAUUAAAGGAACCAACAAGGAAAUAGUUUCCUCUGCUGCAUCUGCACUCAGCUUAAACGGUUCAUACACGACAAUGAGCUAUCUUCAAAUUAUCCUAGAGAGUUUGCGAGCGGAUGAAAAUGUUCAUACUGUCGAGUUUAUCCAGUCACAAAUUGAAUAAUUCUGUAAUACAUGGAGGUAGCUUCAAUUCAGAUUUAUCUUCACCUACAAGAGAAGUUUCGUCCAUAGAUAGUACAUUUGAUGAUGUGCAAUCCAGGAUUCCAGGUUAAGGAGGCUUUAGAGAUGGAAUGCAAUAAAUACGGUUUUAUGGACUAUAUUGUUGUCUGCUCUUGUUGGAUACUCACUCUUCCAGAAAAGAAGUCGUUGAGACAGUAACAAUUCAUACAGUUUGAUCAAACUAGACCUCUUUAGUAUGGCGUAUGAACUAACUAAUGCUGCCUUCAGCAAAUAGCAAUGUUUGUUUUCAUAUUAUCUGUAACAACUCUUCAAGAAAAUUGGCUGUUCACUUGUCAUUUUCAGGACUUUUCACUUCUGAUGAGUUGUGUGACAGAGAGAAGAAUCCUCUGGCGUUGAUAUGUUAGUGACACAUGUGAUUCAUGGUGUUUUCUGUAGUCUUCUCUUCGGUGGCAUGUGUCUUCGCCACUUAUGGUUUGAUUUACUACAGACAACUCCUACUAUUAUCGAAAUAGAUAAAUAAAGAAAUGAGAUUUCCAAGUUUAAAAGUUUUGUAGGCGUGAUGUCCUAUUACAAUUCCAUUAGGGUCUAUUUAUGGCCGUAGUAGUGGAGAUUUUAAGGUUACAUGUUUGAUUGGCUCCCAUCGAAUUUGGUUUGGAUCAUCCUUAUAAUGAGUCAAGCAGUCACAC